UUUGCGUCGUGCCCGACGCUCAUCAUUCCCCUUCUGCUGCUGCUGCUCAAGUCCCCCGUCGCAGUGCUGAAGUAGUAGGUUGGCCAUGGCCAGUGUCCUUCCCCUUGCACACCAGCAGUAGGAGCAGCAGCAGGAGCAACAGCAUUGUUAGCGUUGUGCACGUCGCUGAUGGUGCCGAGCCUGAGUGGGUGUAUGUGUGUGUGGCGAGGAAGGGUUAAGAUAGCAGUGGAUUGGACAAAGCCACAGAGCUGAGUGAUUGAGUAGUGGGUUGUUUUUGCUUCGAUCGGGAGUUGUUGCUGCUGCGUCGUGUGUCGCAGACUCGGGAGAGAUUGAAGGGGGAUCUGGAAGCGUGAGAGGGAGUGAGUAAGGAGAAGUGUUGAAGCGGGGAAGGAAUGGGGGUUGAUUAUUAUAGCGUGUUGAAGGUGCCGAAGACGGCAACGGAGGAUGAUUUGAAGAAAGCGUAUAGGAAGUUGGCGAUGAAAUGGCAUCCUGACAAGAAUCCGAACAACAAGAAGGAGGCGGAGGCGAAGUUUAAGCAGAUAUCGGAGGCGUACGAGGUGUUGAGCGAUCCGCAGAAGAGGAUAAUCUACGAUCAGGAAGGGGAGGAGGGGUUGAAAGGGCAUGCUGCACACCCGGGCUCAUCGCAUGGCUACUCUAAUGGUGCGGGAGGAGGUCCCAACGCAUUUAGGUUCAAUCCUAGGAAUGCUGAAGAUAUCUUCGCUGAGUUUUUCGGUGGGGCUAGUCCAUUCGGAGGAAUGGGGGGUGUGGGUGGCAGAGGUGGAAGAGGGCACUUCGGCGAUGGCAUGUUCGGUGGGUUUGGAGGUGGUGAGAGCGUGUUCCGGAGCUCUGAUGGGAGCCAGGGAUUUCGGGCAUUUGGGGAAGGGCCUUCACAUACGCAGCCCCGUAAGGCCGCCCCGGUGGAGAAUAAGCUGUUGUGCAGCUUAGAGGAGCUGUACAAGGGGUCCACGAGGAAGAUGAAGAUUUCGAGGAGUAUUGCGGAUGCCAGCGGCAAGACGAUGCCGGUGGAGGAAAUCCUGACAAUUGAGGUGAAGCCUGGGUGGAAGAAGGGAACGAAGAUCACAUUCCCCGAGAAGGGCAAUGAGCAACCGGGCAUGUUGGCUGCCGACCUGGUGUUCGUGAUCGACGAGAAACCUCACGACACGUUCAAGCGGGACGGAAAUGACCUAAUCGUGACGAAGAAGAUAUCGCUGGUGGAGGCACUGUCAGGGUGCAGCUUCACGUUGGGGUCACUGGACGGGAGGUCUCUGACGGUGAGCAUACCGGACGUGAUUCAUCCGGGAUACGAGAAGGUGCUGGCAAAGGAGGGAAUGCCGGUGGCGAAGGAGCCGGGUAGGAGAGGCAAUUUGCGGAUCAAGUUCGACAUUGACUUUCCGACGAGAUUGAGCGCGGAGCAGAAGGCAGGGUUGAAGAGGCUGCUGGGAGGCGUGUGAAGGAGGGAAUGGUGUGGCAGGACGGUGUUGUGCAGCGCGAGGCAGCAGUUGACAGUCUGUAGCGGAUCAUACAAGUGAGGUCUAUACCUGUUCACUGAAGUGUCUUUGUCUUUUACACACGACACCUCAUUGCUUCUGUGAAGGGCUGGUGGAGUUGACCAAGCGUUUUUCAAUUUUUUCUGGGGAUUGAUGGAGGUGAUGCGUGAGAUUCUAUGGAGAAGUAAAGAUCGCUCUCAUGGUAGGUGUAGACGUUCGUCUGGCGCCCACAGUUAUGUUAACAUCAAAAAUGGUUCACGAGCGUGAAGAUUUGUAGUUAGUUCGAUGGAACGUUGCUUGGGUUUGCCGAUCCGUGAAUGAUUCUUUGGUCUGAAGGGAAAAAUACUGAUAUUUAUAAGCUGGGUUGCAGACAAGAUCACGAUCCGCUUCGUUUUCAGUUCCAUACAGAACUGUUCAACUUGCUUCGUCUUUUACCCCUCUUCAUUACAGAACUGAAGUCCUUUUUUCAGCUUAAUCCAGAGUGUGCAAUGUAAGUUGACUGGCGUUGGAUCGAGCGGCAGUUCAAGCUCUCUGCAAGGUGUACCCUAUGAUUCUGUUACAUGUUUUCUAUUUCUGAGGUGUAAUUUUCUAAGACGAUAUUGUAAAACUUGUGAAGAGAAGACGAUGCUGCAUUUUUAGGAUUUGUAUAUCUUACCGUCAAAUGUGGUAUUGAUGAGUUAUGUUGUAACUGCUAUUGGAAAGGUAAUGUUAUAAAAAUAUAGGUUCCUAAACCUUUCAAGGA